rnacentral:tRNA from 1 species
UCCCUUGUGUCUCAGUUGGUAAAGAAUCCACCUGCAAUGUGGGAGACCGGGGUUCGAUCCCUGGGUUGGGAA